CCUCUAUCUGGCACGAUCUCUCUAAAUACCGUCAGAGCUGCGUCAGAGGGGGCAGGGUCCGGCUCCGCACAGUGGAGUGCCGAACCCGGAAGUGUUACCGCAUGACAAAAGAGAGAGAGGGAUGGAUGGAUGGUGUGACGAAAGCAACUUUGCCACUGUUUUUUUGGAGAGGACUAAUGGCACAGCUUCCCUGUGACUAUGGCCCCUGU